AGAGUUUGAUCAUGGCUCAGAACGAACGCUGGCGGCGUGGAUAAGACAUGCAAGUCGAGCGCUGAUUUCAGGGUAGCAAUAUUCUGAAGUUGGAGCGGCGCAAGGGUGCGUAACACGUGGGUAAUCUGCCAUGAAGUCCGGGAUAACUCGCUGAAAGGCGAGCUAAUACCGUAUGUGACGAUCGGAAGGCAUCUUCUGAUCUUCAAAGCUGGGGACCGUAAGGCCUGGCGCUUCAUGAUGAGCCCGCGGCCUAUCAGCUAGUUGGUGAGGUAACGGCUCACCAAGGCUAAGACGGGUAGCUGGUCUGAGAGGACGACCAGCCACACUGGAACUGAGACACGGUCCAGACACCUACGGGUGGCAGCAGUCGAGAAUUUUUCACAAUGGGGGAAACCCUGAUGGAGCGACGCCGCGUGGGGGAUGAAUGGCUUCGGCCCGUAAACCCCUGUCAUUUGCGAACAAAUUGGUUCACUUAAUACCUGAACCAUUGAUAGUAGCGGAAGAGGAAGGGACGGCUAACUCUGUGCCAGCAGCCGCGGUAAUACAGAGGUCCCAAGCGUUGUUCGGAUUCACUGGGCGUAAAGGGUGCGUAGGCGGUCGGGUAAGUCUGAUGUGAAAGCUCUGGGCUUAACCCAGAAAUGGCAUUGGAUACUAUUCGGCUUGAGGUCUGGAGGGGGGACUGGAAUUCUCGGUGUAGCAGUGAAAUGCGUAGAUAUCGAGAGGAACACCAGUGGCGAAGGCGAGUCCCUGGACAGAUCCUGACGCUGAGGCACGAAAGCUAGGGGAGCAAACAGGAUUAGAUACCCUAGUAGUCC
rnacentral:rRNA from 1 species